CUUUCUUGGAGAGUUUGAUCCUGGCUCAGGACGAACGCUGGCGGCGUGCCUAAUACAUGCAAGUCGAGCGGACUUGAUGGAGAGCUUGCUCUCCUGAUGGUUAGCGGCGGACGGGUGAGUAACACGUAGGCAACCUGCCUGCAAGACCGGGAUAACCCACGGAAACGUGAGCUAAUACCGGAUAUCUCAUUUCCUCUCCUGAGGGAAUGAUGAAAGACGGAGCAAUCUGUCACUUGCGGAUGGGCCUGCGGCGCAUUAGCUAGUUGGUGAGGUAACGGCUCACCAAGGCGACGAUGCGUAGCCGACCUGAGAGGGUGAACGGCCACA
rnacentral:rRNA from 1 species